UACGUAGGGGGCAAGCGUUGCCCGGAAUCAUUGGGCGUAAAGAGCGUGUAGGCGGCUCGGUAAGUCCGCUGUGAAAGUCCAGGGCUCAACCCUGGAAUGCCGGUGGAAACUGUCGAGCUAGAGUCCGGAAGAGGCGAGUGGAAUUCCUGGUGUAGCGGUGAAAUGCGCAGAUAUCAGGAGGAACACCAAUGGCGAAGGCAGCUCGCUGGGACGGUACUGACGCUGAGACGCGAAAGCGUGGGGAGCAAACAGG
rnacentral:rRNA from 1 species